GAUUUGGAGCCCUUCGGCGCCCCAGAACCCUUUGUGAACUUAUACCUACUGUUGCCUCGGCGUCAGGCCGGCCCCUUCACUGGGGCCCCCCGGAGACGGGGAGCAGCCCGCCGGCGGCCAACUAAACUCUUGUUUCUAUAGUGAAUCUCUGAGUAAAAAACAUAAAUGAAUCAAAACUUUCAACAACGGAUCUCUUGGUUCUGGCAUCGAUGAAGAACGCAGCGAAAUGCGAUAAGUAAUGUGAAUUGCAGAAUUCAGUGAAUCAUCGAAUCUUUGAACGCACAUUGCGCCCCCUGGUAUUCCGGGGGGCAUGCCUGUUCGAGCGUCAUUUCAACCCUCAAGCCUGGCUUGGUGAUGGGGCACUGCUUCGAGAGGAGCAGGCCCUGAAAUUCAGUGGCGAGCUCGCCAGGACCCCGAGCGUAGUAGUUAUAUCUCGCUUUGGAAGGCCCUGGCGGUGCCCUGCCGUUAAACCCCCAACUUCUGAAAAUUUGACCUCGGAUCAGGUAGGAAUACCCGCUGAACUUAAGCAUAUCAAUAAGCGGAGAAA
rnacentral:rRNA from 1 species